CUUUUACGUCGGCCUUCGCGAGCGUCUGGGCGGGUGGUAGGUGAGUGGGUAUUGCGGGCUAGUAUCCGAGCAAAAGAUGGUGGCGCAGGCCGAGUUAAGAGCUUUAAUCCUGUGAAGACAUCUUAGUGAAGAGUUUAGAGUGCUGAGAGUUGAAAGCUUGCACGUGGGAAACGUGCGGCCGGACUGCCACAUGUACUGAGGUUGAGUCGUGACGGCCACAGGCUCCGAGUUUUGGCGUGAGGAACCGCUGAUCGGCCACGGGCGCCGAACUUGCUGGCCUCCGGCAUGUGCCUGAGCGGCGGCGGAAAAACCACCUUAAUUGGGGCGGAGGGAACAAUGGCGCUGUCUUCAGUGGCACAGUGGAGCAGCUCUGAAGAUGCAAAGUGAGGGUCGCUGUCUGCCCAUUGAUAGAGGCCAGAUUGUCUUGGAAGUUCCAAAGUUGCAACGAUUUCUGGCUAGUGCCACGAGGUUUACUUGACUGUUGUGUGAAAAGCUGAUAAGAAAACCAUCCAGAAAAAAGCUCUUCGUUUUACAAACAUGAAAAUAAAACAUGUAAUUUUG
rnacentral:lncRNA from 1 species